rnacentral:rRNA from 1 species
UACGGAGGGUGCAAGCGUUGUUCGGAAUCACUGGGCGUAAAGGGCGCGUAGGCGGCCCGCUAAGUCGAACGUGAAAUCCCCGGGCUCAACCCGGGAACUGCGUCCGAUACUGGCAGGCUUGAAUCCGGGAGAGGGAUGCGGAAUUCCAGGUGUAGCGGUGAAAUGCGUAGAUAUCUGGAGGAACACCGGUGGCGAAGGCGGCAUCCUGGACCGGUAUUGACGCUGAGGCGCGAAAGCCAGGGGAGCAAACGGGG